GCCCUAAAGUAUUAUUUAUAUUUGGGAAUGAAACCGCCAUCACAUUUUGAUUUUCAAAUGGCAACCUGUAGGCAUUGAAAAUUCCACGAACAUAUGAAGUUUUGGUUUAAAAUGUUUAAAUACCAUUUCUCGGUGAUGAUAUUUGUAAUUUUUAUCAAAACAGUUGACGGCGACAAUGUAGUCCGCUACACUCUGCUCACCCCGCUGUCUACCCAUGAAAUAACAAACUUAAAUGUGGAAUAUCUCGCCAAAGUGUAUCAAAAUAACAUGAUAGUGAUUUCACUCCCAGACAUAACAGUAAUGUAACACACUACAAAAGUAGCUUGUUUCUUAAGUUGUCCGAAAAGGAAAAUUCCAAAACAAACACUUUGGGAUUUAACGGGUGGGUAACGUUUUACUUGACCACUAUGUAUUCUGUAUAAUAUUGAUCGAAUUCAUGUAUUCUAGAAAUCAUACAAUUUCAUUGCGAGCGGUUAUAUUAUAAUAUAUAUAUAAAACUGUGUAUAGAUACUAAUGCAGUGUUGCACGUUAUAUCGAACCGGCUACAUAAAUAUUAUAUUCGUCGGUUAGGUACAAUAACAAUAUACUGAAUACAUAGUGAAUGUUUUAUUUACGCGCGAACUUUGACGUUGUUAUUUUCAACGGGCGAACAAGAAUAACAAUACUAAACCUAACAAUAAUAUAUUACCUAAAAAUACAAACAAUUACCGAUCAUUACGAUUGAUUAACUCGGAAAAUGGACGAUUUGUUCGGAUUACAUAAGAACGUGAGCAAUUUGAAGACGAACAUAAAUAUCAAAAACAUAAAGUCUGAUACUGUUGCAAAUUUUUUUUGAAGGGAAGUCGGAAAGAAGGAUAUAAUGAAGAGUGAUUUAAUUUAUAUCUGCACCCAACGAUACAUUAUCGCUAACGUAAAAACGAUUCAGAGUGGAGUAUUAUUAGUCGAAUUUUUUCCAUUGUUGCCAAGGAAAUCCAGUAAUCAACAAAUACUUUGUAACGAAUCAUCAGUUUUUAAAUUUAAUAAGAAAACUACACGGAAAGUAAAAAAUAACCUCCUCUAUGCAUCAAGUAGAAAUCAAAAAAUACUAUAAAAAAAUUCCUAUACAAUUUUCGAUCGGUGAUAUAUUUCUGGAAAAAAAGUUGUUUACAAUCAUGCGCAAAAAACCAUCUAGUCAAACCAACGCACUCCUCGAUUCGCUCAGAAUAUAAUAAUACUAGAAAUUUGUAUCGACAAUUAUACAUUCACAAUACGACAAGCUAUGGACUACGGCGAUAAUUUUCGGAAAUACAAACAGGCGCAAUAGUAGUCGCAGUAUUGCAGUAGUGCCUCAGUGCGCACUUUUUUGCAACUCGAAAACGCUACAAGUCAAUAAUUUCGUACACUAUAAUCUAUAAUAAUAUAGGUAGAUUUAAUUUUUAUUUAUAAACGGCCGUGGAAAUAAAUGCAAUUUAUGUAGAUAAUGAUUUGCGAAAUUUGAAAAACAAACAUCACGUGCACUCCAAUAAUCAACUGCGACAUUACGAUGCCGAUACGGUCCGAUAUAAUUUUAAGACAGUCGUAAAAAUCGUUGAAGUUAGUUCGUACAAUUUAGAUAAAGUAUGAAAAUUUCGCCUAAUUAAUACGUAUAGGCAUGUCAACAUAUUCUCGAUUUCGGUUAAAAUUCUCGAUUUCCAAAUCGAAAGUAUCGUUAUUAUUUUAUUAUUUUUGUAUUUUUUAAAUUUAGAACUUUCAAAUUAUUAGAUUAGAUAUAGGCGAUUUGUCGCGUUGCGUCAUCUGUCUUGAUUAGACUCGUAAAUCUGACAAAAACGUUUGCCAAGGCGCGGUUAUUUUAUAGAACUAAUUUCAAUGUUUAAACAAAACCGCGAUCGCGGAAACGAUUGAGCGGAUAUUGUGGACUUGACAUUCGGGACAUUUGAAAAUCAAAAGUCCGGUAACAAGCGCAAUGAACUGAGGGUUCACCGCCAUAGACAUUUUACGGUUCAAAAGAAAUGGACACUUUCCCGCGGGUAUAAUGAGUGUCACGCGAAAAAUUUGAUCACUCUCUGUACACGUAUAUAUUUGAAAAUUCGGAACCGGACGGACAAACGGUAUUAUUUAUAUUGAAAGAUCGAAUCCCCGUCACCGUGUUCCGGAUGUGAAACCGGACGGUCCGUCGUAGCAGUCGUCAUCGUUCCCGCGGACGGAAUUAAUGUGUUUUUUUAUUAUUUUUUUUUUCUGUUUUUCUUUUCUCGUAUUGCCGACGAAAAUGAUAACAAUAAUAAUAAUAAUAUAAUAGUCGCUAAUAGACCGCGAGACGAAUGAGCCGAGGCGUUUUUCGGACGCCGGUGUUUACUAUAAAAAAAAAAAAAAAACGCGACCGCCGCCGGUACGGAACGACACGAGAAAAAUAAUAAUAUCGCGUACGAUGUUUUCUCUUAUUUAGCACGCGCACGCCGGUAAACA